ensembl:lncRNA
UGUAUGGCUCUCUUCAAGUCAUUCCAUAGCAUCUCUAUUGGUUUGAGGUCUGGGCUCUGACUUGGCCACUCCAAAAGGCGGAUUUUGUUUUUCUGAAGCCAUUCUGUUGUAGACUUGCUCUGGUGUUUUGGGUCUUUGUCCUGUUGCAUCACUCAACUUCUACACAGUUUCAGCUGAUGUACAGACAUUCUCACAUUAUACUGAAGAAUUGUCUGAUAUACUUGGUGUGGCAGGGUAAGUGAUUUGGCUAUCCUAUUGGUUCUGUUUGGGAUAUGGUUUCGGCAGACCAAUAGGAUGAGAGCUACCCGAUUAUUUAAGGACCCUUAUUUUGGUAAGCAGAUAGGUGUCUUUGUGAUUCCCUCGUUCCCCUGGCAUUUCCGGGUUCCCGUCCCGUCCCGUCCCGUACCGUACCAUCCCGUCCCGUCCCGUCCCGUCCCGUGCGGUUUUAGCGCCGUUUUAGACGGCAAUGGUGGCGCGUGCAUUGUGGCGAAUUGGCGCCAGAGAUCACGUGAUGUGAUCGCAACAUUUAGCCGGUGGCUGAAUGAUGAGUAUGUAUGUCGAGCCGCGGUGCCUGAUGAAUUGCAUUCAACCAAGGAGGCCUGGAACAGCCACCUGAUACGUCCAUCAAUGAAUGAACGUGUUCCCCAUGGUCGGCCUGAUGUCAUGUAUACUAUUCCCGGAAUUGACACAGUGGACUAUUUGUGCCAAGUGUCAGAGGAAGAAUGUAUCUGGUGCGAAGGUAACUGCAUCCACCACCAUGACAUUGCUUGUGAUAAUGUUUUAUUCACCCUCUGCACCUACAUAAUGGCUCAAAACAAUCUGUGUUCCCCUGAAUGCAUACACUGCCGUUGACCUCUGCUUUUCCUUGUGAAAGGAACUGACUACACUAUUAAACACCCCUCUCCUGUACUCCCCAGAGGAUUGGUACGCUAUACUUAGUGUGACUAAGGUGUGACUAAGGUGUGACUUAGUUUAAUGUCUAUAGUUCCUUUCAUACCCACCGGGGGCAUUGGUGGCUUGUCUUUUAAGGCUCUGGGGUUCAAGCCCCAGCACUGCCAGGCUGCUACUGUUGGGCCCUUGAGCAAGCCCCUUAACCCUCUUUGCUCCAUGGGCGCUGUAUCAUGGCUGACCCUGCGCCCUGACCCCAGCUUCCUGAC